rnacentral:rRNA from 1 species
UACAGAGACUGCAAGCGUUAUUCGGAUUCACUGGGCGUAAAGGGUGCGCAGGCGGUUGGGUGUGUCAGAUGUGAAAUCCCGAGGCUCAACCUCGGAACUGCGUCUGAAACUACUCGACUAGAGUACUGGAGAGGGUAACGGAAUUCACGGUGUAGCAGUGAAAUGCGUAGAUAUCGUGAGGAACACCAGAGGCGAAGGCGGUUACCUGGACAGUUACUGACGCUCAGGCACGAAAAGCAUGGGGAGCAAAAGGG